rnacentral:rRNA from 1 species
GACAGAGGGUGCAAACGUUGUUCGGAAUUACUGGGCGUAAAGCGCGUGUAGGCGGCUAUGCAAGUCGGGCGUGAAAUCCCACGGCUCAACCGUGGAAGUGCACUCGAAACUGCGUAGCUAGAGUCCCGGAGAGGAAGGUGGAAUACUUGGUGUAGAGGUGAAAUUCGUAGAUAUCGGGAAGAACACCCGUGGCGAAGGCGGUUCUCUGGGACGGUACUGACGCUGAGACGCGAAAGCGUGGGGAGCGAACAGG